rnacentral:rRNA from 1 species
AACGAACGUUGGCGGCGUGGAUUAGGCAUGCAAGUCGAGCGAGAACCCAGCAAUGGGGGACAGCGGCGUAAGGGACAGUAAUGUGUAGAUUAUCUGCCCUCGGGACCGGGAUAGCUGCGGGAAACUGCAGGUAAUACCGGAUAACAUCUCCGGAUCAAAGGUGUGAUUCCGCCCGAGGAUGAGUCUGCAUCCUAUUAGCUAGUUGGCAGGGUAAUGGCCUACCAAGGCUUUGAUGGGUAGCGGGUGUGAGAGCACGACCGGCGUCAUUGGGGCUGAGACACUGCCCAGACACCUACGGGUGGCUGCAGUCGAGAAUCUUCGGCAAUGGGCGCAAGCCUGACCGAGCGACGCCGCGUGUGGGAUGAAGGCCUUCGGGUUGUAAACCACUGUUAGAGGGGAUGAAAUGCAGGUGGGUUCUCCCAUCUGUUUGACAUAGCCUCAGAGGAAGGACGGGCUAAGUUCGUGCCAGCCGCCGCCGUAA